AUGGUAAUUGCUGUGGAAGACAGAGUGUUCUAUGGGUGAGGCCCCAGAACACUAAGGAGCUAGAGAGUCAGUGGUGGCCCGAGAUUCAGGUGGUAGAUGAGCAGAUGCUGGUGUUUGAUCCCAAGGAGAGUGAUGGGGGUAUUUCCUGGCCUAAAAUAGAGUGGCUCCCACAAUGGUCCCAAGAAGGGAAAAGGCCUGACAUUUGUCAUUGGUGAGAUAGCCAUUCAACAGGGUAUGUUACAGCACACUAUACAGAGAAUUCUUGACAGAUUUCUCCAAGGUUACAACUGCUCAAUGUUUACCUCUGGAGUCACUGGGGCUGGGAAGACACACACUCUGCUGGGAAUGAAGGAAGAGACUGGCAUCAUGUACCUGACUACCAUGGAACUGUAUAGGCAUCUUAAAGCCCGCGAGGAAGAAAAACAAUUUGAGGUGCUCAUCAGUUACCUGGAGGUGUAUAGUGAGCAGAUCCAUGACCUCCUGGAGCCCAAUGGACCAUAUACACACAAUUUGUGAGGACCUUGAUAAGGGUGUUGUGGUGCCAGGACUUUCUACCAGCCAGCUUCAGCUGAGCAGCUACAGAAGAUGCUGGUCAGAUGAAACUGCAGAUACACACAGCACCACAGGGAUGUCAAUGCCACAUCUUUCCACUCUCAUGCCAUUUUCCAGAUCUUUGUGAAGCAGCAGAACUAGGUUCCAGGACUUACCCAAGCUCUUGAAGUAGCCAAGAUGAGACUGAUUGACCUGACUAGCUCAUAGCCCUCAUAUAGUCCCCACAUCAAAGAAGAGCAGCUGCAGGAGGGUGCCAACAUCAACAGCUCUCUGUUAGCACUAAUCGAUAUCCUCAAUGCGACCAAUGCAAGAGGCCACAAGUCUCAUGUGCCCUACUGAGACAGCAGACUGACCUGUCUGCUCAAGGUCUCCACUGGGGGCAAAUGCUGCACUGUGAUGGUUACUGCCAUCAGUCUUUCCAGCCUGACUUAUGAGGAUACUUACAACUCCCUCAAAUAGGCUAAUUGUGCCAAGGAGAUCAGACUCAUGCUGAAGAGCAACGUGAUUAGCCAUUAUAUCACUAUCUGCCAGCAGCUCCAGACUGAGGUGGUUACCCUAAAGGAGAAGUUCCAAACAUAUGAGGCUGGAGCCCAGGCGCGCAACAGUGCUUCCCACAGGCCACCACGCUGAGCAUACCACAAUGCCUAGCUCCCCAUUUCAGCCUGGACACUCCAGCUAGUCCUAUACCCCAGAAUUCCAUCCAAAGUAUGGAAUUCUUCAAGAGGAGAGCCUGGGAACAGAUGCCCAGGGACAGGGGGUUGUGGAGGAAAAUUAUUCAAAAUAGGAACAGUCCCCCCAGGACAAGCAGUUUCCAUCCCAGAACCUAGAACUGAACGUGCCAGGGUCCCCUAAUCCAAUUUUGCAGACGAAGCCAGCCAUUAACAAACACUCAAUACAGAAUCUGGAACUAGACUAUUCUAAGCAGUUGCGCCUCUGGGUGCCUCUCCUGGCCCAUCAAUAGGUGGCCUACCUUCUGACUCCUGACAUGGUCUAAGAAUUUGAAACCCUGGAGCAGUUAGUGCAUGAAGAAAGCAAUAAGCACAGGACUGAGACCCCCACGUCUCCAGGUCUGGCAAGGGGGAAUCCUUUAGCUCAGGAGCUGUGUUCAGAGUCUAAGUCUUCAGAGUACUGUGAUCCUAUGACCAUGACAAAGCAACUAAAUGGUCUCAAAUACACUCUGCAGAUCCCACUCGCUCCCGAUCACAGCUCAUAUAAAACAUCCCAAAAGCCCUCUAAGAAGAAGACAAGGAAGCUGAAUCCCUUAGAGAGCUAAGCAGCCCACCAGCUCCAAAUCUGCCAGUGCCAGUCUUUCCUCCCCUGACUGAGGAAGGGUUCUCUAACUAAGGCCCAUCAUUUGCGUCCAGAACUCCCAAAUAAAAAAUGGGCUUCUUCCCCCUCCACCUCCUCCAGAGUCUGCCUAGCUACAGUCAUUAAAAGAUGGGUACCUCUGGUCCUUUCUACCUUACAGAACUGUUCCACUCCACUGGCCCUAUUCAUUUGUUACCUCAACACCACCUUCAAUAUCUCUGAGGGGUGCCCCUCCAAACCCAGAUUCCAUGAACUUAUUGAUUGGGAGAAAGUCCCCCUGGAGCUGAACAGCACAGACCAGGCCUUUGUUCCUAGUGUACCUGUCCUCGUUCACCACGAAGUGCCCCAAGCCUUAUCUUCCUACAACUACUGCAGCAAGAAGAGGCACUGUGAAAUCAUUAGUCUCCAGAGGCUGCAGCAGCAGUGUUUGCCUCCCCAGUAGCUCCUUGAAGAGGCCAACCAGACCUUUAACAGUCCCAGAACCAUAUUGAGCCCCCAUUGCCUUAGUGACCAGAAGACUCAUAAGGGACUGAUUGGAGUGACAGU
rnacentral:lncRNA from 1 species